ensembl:lncRNA
AUGGCUGAUUCACAUCAACGUAUGGCAAAAAGCCACCACAAUAUUGUAAAGUAAUUAACCUCCAACUAUAAUAAAUAAAUAAAAAUUUUAAAAAUAUAUUACGGUCAAUUCUUAAGAACUUUCAACAUGAGAAAGAAAAAAAAAUGAGCUCAAUAUUACAAGUAAAAAAAAGAAGAAAAGCAGUACCCUUUCUUAAAGUAUAAAUAAAUUACUGCCUUUGGAAAAACUGUAAAGAGUUGCAUUUUUCAUUUAGAAAAUAUGUGCCUUUUUUUUUGGAUAAUGCCAGUUACCGCAAAGUAAUAUAAUGAUGAUAAAUUCCUUUUGUGAGUCAUCUUGAGAAUUAGUUUAAAUUCACAUUGCAAACCAUUUACCCGCUAUUACUUUCUCUGUCAACAGCCAGAAGUGAAAAAUCUUCCAUGGAAUCUCAACAGGAAAGAUUUCACAGAAGUGACAUUCACAAAGGGUGGGUCUUCCCACAGUCAUGUAUAGAGGAAUUAUCCACUUUUCCCCAAGUAAUCCCAGAAUCUCAGUACAUGGGAACAGGGAAUUUGUAAACAGACACUCCCAGACUCUAAAACCAUAGCCUCUGCUGAUGUGUAGAAUCUUGUAUACAUACUUUCCUCGACACCAAAAAAGUGGUCCCCAUGCCUUGACACACCAACUAAAAUACUCAUCAAAUCAAGAUGGUGNNNNNNNNNNNNNNNNNNNNNNNNNNNNNNNNNNNNNNNNNNNNNNNNNNNNNNNNNUUGGAACUACCUCUUGGACCCUGCAUUCCAUUUGUGAUUUACUAGUGGCCUCUGAUACUUUGGCCAGAAGUACUGGCUUGUUUCAAGAGAAAGCAGCCUCAGCAGGAUGGUUCAAAUAUAAAUGGAUUCAGUUACUUGCUAAAGGUCAAUCGCAUUUGAUGGGACUGGCAAGAGUUUCCCAAUUUUCCUCAGCAACUAUUCCAGCAUCGUCAUUUUUGUAAGCUCAGUUGCUCAGUUGUGCCUGACUCUUUGCAACCCCCUGGACGGCAUCCCGCCAGGCUCCUUUGUCCAUGGGAUUCUCCAGGCAAGAAUUCUGGAGCAGAUUACCAUUGCCUACUAUUCCAGGGGGUUUUCCCCACCCAGGGAUUGAACCCAAGUCUCCACCAUCUCCUGCAGUUGGCAGGCAGAUUCUUCACCAACUGAAGCACCUGGGAACUUUCUCUAAAAUGCUUAGAUUCCACAGUGUCUACUGAGCAUGCGAUGCCAAGACAAGCUGAUAAAACUAUCCCACGUGGAAACUGGUAUAUCAAGCACAGCACCGAAGGACAAAAAUUAUUCCCACAAAAUGGCACUGGGUUAUUGUUUCGGUAGCAAGGAAACUCACGUUUUAGAAGAGAAAGCUGAUGACCUUGAACAAACCUUUAAAAUAUUUGGUAAAUGUGUAACAGAUGAUAAAUUUAAAAAGGUGCAGUAUGUGAUUUUUGCAUGGCAUGAAUGGAAAAAGCCAGAAAGUUCUUUUGUUUGCCAUCCUUUAUUGCUUUUACUAAUGCAUUACAAAAAAAGAAAAAAAAGGAAAUUAACAGAGGCAAUAAUUGGCUAAUCUGCAGUACAAGCAGCUGCUAAGUCGCUUCAGUCGUGUCCGACUCUGUGAGACCCCAGAGACGG